ACUCCUACGGGAGGCAGCAGUCGGGAAUCUUCCACAAUGGGCGAAAGCCUGAUGGAGCGACGCCGCGUGAGUGAUGAAGGUCUUCGGAUCGUAAAGCUCUGUUACCAGGGACGAAACAAGACGGUACCUGGGGAGGAAGCCACGGCUAACUACGUGCCAGCAGCCGCGGUAAUACGUAGGUGGCGAGCGUUGUCCGGAAUUAUUGGGCGUAAAGGGCGCGUAGGCGGUCGUUUAAGUCAGGUGUGAAAGCCCCCGGCUCAACUGGGGAGUUGCAUCUGAUACUGGGCGACUAGAGUGCAGGAGAGGAAAGUGGAAUUCCGAGUGUAGCGGUGAAAUGCGUAGAUAUUCGGAGGAACACCAGUGGCGAAGGCGGCUUUCUGGACUGCAACUGACGCUGAGGCGCGAAAGCUGGGGGAGCAAACGGGAUUAGAUACCCCGGUAGUCCCAGCCGUAAACGAUGGAUGCUAGGUGUGGGGGGUAUCGACCCCUUCCGUGCCGCAGUUAACACAAUAAGCAUCCCGUCUGGGGAGUACGGCCGCAAGGUUGAAACUCAAAGGAAUUGACGGGGGCCCGCACAAGCGGUGGAGUAUGUGGUU
rnacentral:rRNA from 1 species